rnacentral:rRNA from 1 species
GAUGAACGCUGGCGGCGUGCCUAAUACAUGCAAGUCGAGCGAACGGACGAGAAGCUUGCUUCUCUGAUGUUAGCGGCGGACGGGCGAGUAACACGUGGAUAACCUACCUAUAAGACUGGGAUAACUUCGGGAAACCGGAGCUAAUACCGGAUAAUAUUUUGAACCGCACGGUUCAAAAGUGAAAGACGGUCUUGCUGUCACUUAUAGAUGGAUCCGCGCUGCAUUAGCUAGUUGGUAAGGUAACGGCUUACCAAGGCAACGAUGCAUAGCCGACCUGAGAGGGUGAUCGGCCACACUGGAACUGAGACACGGUCCAGACUCCUACGGGAGGCAGCAGUAGGGAAUCUUCCGCAAUGGGCGAAAGCCUGACGGAGCAACGCCGCGUGAGUGAUGAAGGUCUUCGGAUCGUAAAACUCUGUUAUUAGGGAAGAACAUAUGUGUAAGUAACUGUGCACAUCUUGACGGUACCUAAUCAGAAAGCCACGGCUAACUACGUG